UACCAAAUCAACUAAUUCGGGUUAAUUAGAAACCCUGUAAUAUUUUAUUCCAGAAAAAAAUGAAGGAAGUUUUUAUGUCUACCAUGCAUCAGUUUCUUUCACAAUUAUCUAAAUCUUUACAAGAUCGUUUAAAAUAAGUAUUGUGUUCACAAUUUUAUAGAAGAAGAAAUUGAAUGCCAAGUUCCUUCAGAAACGUGUCAAGAUGACAUAAUUUGUAAAUGGUGGUGCUGAAAUUCUAGAGUGAAGGGCUUUGCACAAUGUCACAAGCUCUUGAAGUGCUUCGGCUUCCAUUUUAUCUCAUAGGAUCAUGAGAAUCUCUGAGUUAUAUAAGAAUCCCUGAUGCCCUUCACAAUGGUAUUGGGCUAAGUGUAUUCCUGAGCCAGGCCUGACCAGGACCAAGGUUGACCAGCAGCUUCAGCUCUGCCAGGAGGAGAGAACCCUGGCAUUUUUCUUCCCGUCUGCUGUUACCUAUUGUUACCUGCCCUCUGGUAUCACCUGCUGCUAGCCUCCUUCUGGGAAUAAGUGUGAGUUCUAGCUUUCUGCACUUAACCUUCAGCUCAUCAUGAAAGUAGAAGUCUGAAUUGUGCUCUGACCAGCCCUAGAUAGAACACUGUCCCUGAGCAUUGAAACCCCCUGGUUCUUAUUUGUAGAUCCCAAAAUAAUGGGGCCAGGAGGA